rnacentral:rRNA from 1 species
UACAGAGGGUGCAAGCGUUAAUCGGAAUUACUGGGCGUAAAGCGUGCGUAGACGGUUACAUAAGUCGGGUGUGAAAGCCCCGGGCUCAACCUGGGAAUUGCAUUCGAGACUGCGUAGCUAGGGUGCGGAAGAGGGAAGCGGAAUUUCCGGUGUAGCGGUGAGAUGCGUAGAUAUCGGAAGGAACACCAGUGGCGAAAGCGGCUUCCUGGUCCAGCACCGACGUUCAGGCACGAAAGCGUGGGGAGCAAACAGG